rnacentral:rRNA from 1 species
GAUGAACGCUGGCGGCGUGCCUAAUACAUGCAAGUCGAGCGCACGGACGAGAAGCUUGCUUCUCUGAUGUUAGCGGCGGACGGGUGUGUAACACGUGGAUAACCUACCUAUAAGACUGGGAUAACUUCGGAAAACCGGCGCUAAUACCGGAUAAUAUUUUGAACCGCAUGGUUCAAAAGUGAAAGACGGUCUUGCUGUCACUUAUAGAUGGAUCCGCGCUGCAUUAGCUAGUUGGUAAGGUAACGGCUUACCAAGGCAACGAUGCAUAGCCGACCUGAGAGGGUGAUCGGCCACCCUGGAACUGAGACACGGUCCAGACUCCUACGGGAGGCAGCAGUAGGGAAUCUUCCGCAAUGGGCGAAAGCCUGACGGAGCAACGCCGCGUGAGUGAUGAAGGUCUUCGGAUCGUAAAACUCUGUUAUUAGGGAAGAACAUAUGUGUAAGUAACUGUGCACAUCUUGACGGUACCUAAUCAGAAAGCCACGGCUAACUACGUG